GUACCCCAUGCUUUAUUCUUGAAUACUUAUGAUUUACCCUUGACCUGCUUUCAGUUUUGAAUUGUACAUGUGUUUUCCCAUAUUUGUCCAUGAUUAAUAGGAUUCAUGAGAUGCUGUGCGUAUGGAUGAAACUUAGGCAUAUGGUAACGAGGAUAGGUCAACCUCAGGACACCCAGGGAAGUUAGGGAGCAUGCCCCGCUGAGUGGAAAUUCCUAGUUCUCCUUUGUGGUUAGUUAGGGUCACCUCUCCACUUAGAAUCUUUUUCCAGUUGGUUGAGGCCAUUUCACACCCUUGCCCCACAGCCAUCUCCCAUUAUCAGAAAUAACAGCUUGUGCUGCCUCAACCUUCCCUGACCAUCCCCUACUGCUCAUAUCUGACCACCUCUGCUCUGAGAGCUGCCUCUGGAGCACAGUUUCUCCUUCUGUUCCUAGUCCCCACCCCAGCCACACCCAGCCUUGUAAAUCCUGCAGCCGCCACUUGGAACUGGGCGGUAAGGAGCAGGGCACCAACAGCCAGUGCUCAAGGAGCUGCACCUAAAUUUAUCUUUGCAGACUCUGCUUCCUGCUUGCCUCAGUUCUUCUCUCUUAUCUAUUCUAAUUCCAAGACCUUUUUGCUUAAUGCAUAGGAAUAUCAAAAUAUCAGUAGUAAUAAUAGAAGUAGCAUUCAGAGCCAGGAAUAUUUGUGCAUAUCUCUUCAGUCCUCACAGCAAUUUUACAAAGGAGGCUUUGCUCUGCUACCAGAAGUCUCCUUAGCAUUUGUUUGAAUUCUGUCUUCAGUGCAUCUCUCAUUGCUGCCUCACCAAUCAGGACAGACUGAAGCCCCUAUUGAUUGCAGCAGUGUAAAUGCCCAAACUCCAUGUUUCAAGUCCAGAAAUACUUCAAGACAACUGUGAAGACCUACCCCACUCCAGGGCUGCCUGUGGGCUGAGAAAACCUCACCACACUAUGCCCAGCACUUCCCAC
rnacentral:lncRNA from 1 species